rnacentral:pre_miRNA from 1 species
UGUUGAAGGUUUCAUCUAUUUAUACUGUUAAACUAGCGUAGUUGACGGAAUAACCGGAUGGUUACACGUAAAGGGCCAUAUGUACCACCUUAUACUGACCUGCAGAGACUAGUUUUUAACAAGAGAAAUGGAUGAAAUUUUUAAUA